UCCCCCUUCUCGUAUCCGUUAAAAAUAAAAAAUAUUGUUUCAUUUUUAUAAUUAAAACUAUCUAUUUUUGUAAUUGAUUCAAUAAAACCUCAGCUUUGUUUUGCAUUAGUAACUUCUAAUUUUGGAAAUAAAGGCACAAUUUUCAUCUACGAUUAGUUUUGAAUUGAAUCAUAAAGUAUGCAAGUACACUUCAUGGCAUCUCGUCCAAAAGAACUGAAGUCACUUCUUGCUGACGAGAUUGUGGUGUUCAAGGUCAAGAGUGAUCCGGGCUCAUAUACUUGAGAGUCAGCUUAGCUUGGUGCUCAUGCUCAGUGAAAUUGCUUUGCA